CGCCCAGACGUCAUCACGGACACUCUGUGCAUGCGCAGAAGGUUCUCAGUUCUGAACCAGUAGCGAAGGUUGGCAGGAGCUGGGGCAGGAAUGGGAACUCACCCUGUCACACAGUAUCUGGGUCACGAACUGCCCACUUUCUGGUUAACAAACCCAGCAUUUACUACAAGCAGAUUAUAUGGGAAGACACUGGCCUCUCAUUGAAAAAUUGCCCAGAGAACCAAAAUGAAGGCUCAGAGGUCUGAAGCAUUUUUCAACCAUGAAGUUGGACUCUCAUCCUGAAGCUUUUAAUUU